UGCGCAGGCGGUUGUGCAAGACAGGUGUGAAAUCCCCGGGCUUAACCUGGGAACUGCACUUGUGACUGCACGGCUGGAGUACGGCAGAGGGGGAUGGAAUUCCGCGUGUAGCAGUGAAAUGCGUAGAUAUGCGGAGGAACACCGAUGGCGAAGGCAGUCCCCUGGGCCUGUACUGACGCUCAUGCACGAAAGCGUGGGGAGCAAACA
rnacentral:rRNA from 1 species